rnacentral:rRNA from 1 species
ACCUCCGGGGCGCAGCAGUGGGGGAUAUUGCACAAUGGGGGGAACCCUGAUGCAGCGACGCCGCGUGGGUGAAGAAGUAUUUCGGUAUGUAAAGCCCUAUCGGCAGGGACGCAUUUAGACGGUACCUGACUAAGAAGCCCCGGCUAACUACGUGCCAGCAGCCGCGGGAAUACGUAGGGGGCAAGCGUUAUCCGGCUUCACUGGGUGUAAAGGGAGCGUAGACGGCCCGGCACGCCUGGAGUGAAAGCCCGGGGCCCAACCCCGGGACUGC